GUGGGGAAUAUUGGGCAAUGGGCGCAAGCCUGACCCAGCAACGCCGCGUGAAGGAAGAAGGCUUUCGGGUUGUAAACUUCUUUUACCAGGGACGAAACAAAUGACGGUACCUGGUGAAUAAGCCACGGCUAACUACGUGCCAGCAGCCGCGGUAAUACGUAGGUGGCGAGCGUUAUCCGGAUUUAUUGGGUGUAAAGGGCGUGUAGGCGGGACAGCAAGUCAGAUGUGAAAACCAGAGGCUCAACCUCUGGCCUGCAUUUGAAACUGUUUUUCUUGAGUACUGGAGAGGCAGAUGGAAUUCCUAGUGUAGCGGUGAAAUGCGUAGAUAUUAGGAGGAACACCAGUGGCGAAGGCGAUCUGCUGGACAGCAACUGACGCUGAGGCGCGAAAGCGUGGGGAGCAAACAGGAUUAGAAACCCGUGUAGUCC
rnacentral:rRNA from 1 species